CUGCGGAAGGAUCAUUGUCGAA
rnacentral:rRNA from 1 species